rnacentral:rRNA from 1 species
AGUAGAAGUACGAGGACGGCUUCCUUUCCGGGAAGCGAGCGUACACAGGUGCUGCAUGGCUGUCGUCAGCCCGUGUCGUGAGAUGUUGGGUUAAGUCCCGCAACGAGCGCAACCCCCUGCAUCCAGUUGCCAUCGGGCGAGCCGGGCACUCUGGAGGGACUGCCGGCGACAAGCCGGAGGAAGGUGGGGAUGACGUCAAGUCAUCAUGGCCCUUAUGUCCAGGGCGACACACGUGCUACAAUGGCCGGCACAGCGGGAAGCGGAGGGGCGACCCUGAGCGGAUCCCUUGAAAGCCGGUCCCAGUUCGGAUUGCAGUCUGCAACUCGACUGCAUGAAGUUGGAAUCGCUAGUAAUCGCGGAUCAGCCAAGCCGCGGUGAAUACGUUCCCGGGCCUU